GAUGAAGAACGCAGCGAAAUGCGAUAAGUAAUGUGAAUUGCAGAAUUCAGUGAAUCAUCGAAUCUUUGAACGCAUAUUGCGCUCUCUGGUAUUCCGGAGAGCAUGUUUGUUUGAGUAUCAGUAAACACCUCAACUCCCUUUUCUUUUUUGAAAUUGGAGCUGGACUUGAGUGAUCCCAACGCUUUCUUCCAAGAAAGUGGCGGGUUGCUUGAAAUGCAGGUGCAGCUGAACUUUUCUCUGAGCUAUAAGCAUAUCUAUUUAGUCUGCCUAAAAAACAGAUUAUUACCUUUGCUGCAGCUAACAUAAAGGAGACUAGUUCUUGUGCUGACUGAUGCAGGAUUCACAGAGACAGCUUCGGCUGACUUUGUAAACUCGAUCUCAAAUCAAGUAAGACUACCCGCUGAACUUAAGCAUAUCAAUAAGCGGAGGA
rnacentral:misc_RNA from 1 species